rnacentral:lncRNA from 1 species
UAAGUACAUUUGUUUGUGGUCUUCAAAAUAUGAUCAUUUUGGGGGCAUUAAGUCCAUUAAUUAGAAAAUUAUCUUCAUCUUGUAUGCUGGGCCCUCUGA